rnacentral:misc_RNA from 1 species
UUGUCUCAACCCCAAGAUCAGGUCUGAUGGAGGGAUUUAAUGGUGGCAACUGGAGAGGCUGUGUUUAGGUUAAGAAACUUAUUUCUCUUCUAAAUUCUGGUUUAGGUCAUGCAAGAGUUAGGAAGCUCAAGAAAUUACCGACCCCUUUAUGCCAAAGCAUCCUUUUAGAUAACCCGCAUCAUAGGACGGAUCUUCCAUCCAAGAAUUUUCAAUUUCUCCAAUCUGGUAGUUACCUUGAUAGCCACCCAAUUCAGGAAUUGGGUUCAAAUGCUAAGAAUUCCCUUUGUUUUGGGGCCCCAUCUUUGGAGCUGAGUUCAAAUGGGAAAAACCCUCUCCACCUUUCCCAACAAACACCGUCAACUCAUUAUCACUUCCUUCAGCAACAGAAACGUUUACAGCUCCAACAGCAGCAGCAAAUGAAGCAGCAAGCUGAGAUGAUGUUUAGAAAAAGCAAUAGUGGGAUUAACCUGAACUUUGAUAACUCUAGCUGUACGCCUACAAUGUCAUCUACUAGAUCUUUCAUAUCUUCCUUAAGUAUAGAUGGCAGUGUUGCUAAUUUAGAAGGAAGUGCAUUUCAUUUGAUUGGGGCACCUCGGGCCUCAGAUCAAAGUUCACAGCAACACAAGAGAAAGUGUUCUGGAAGGGGAGAAGAUGGUAGUGUGAAAUGUGGAAGCAGUGGAAGAUGCCACUGCUCAAAGAAGAGGAAACAUAGGGUAAAGAGGUCAAUCAAGGUACCUGCUAUUAGUAACAAGCUUGCUGAUAUCCCUCCUGAUGAUUAUUCAUGGAGGAAGUAUGGGCAGAAGCCAAUCAAGGGUUCUCCUCAUCCUAGGGGGUAUUAUAAAUGUAGUAGCAUGAGAGGUUGCCCUGCAAGGAAGCAUGUUGAGAGGUGCUUGGAAGACCCAUCUAUGCUUAUUGUUACUUAUGAAGGUGAACAUAACCACCCAAGGAUACCAUCACAAUCUGCAAACACAUAAUCCUCAUGCAGUGAUUUCAAGCCUCAUACUGUUCAAUUCGUCUAAACUUAAUUAUCAAUGGCUUCUGUACAUAUUUUUCUUUUUUUCCUUUCCUCCAUCUUUCUUUUCUUUUACUCUGGGGAGUUGGCUUUUCAAAGCCUUCUCAGCAAUUAGGCCAGAGAGCUUGAAGCUAAACACCGAUCAAAGAAAAAUGUAGAAUUGGGGCUUUAAAUUUGAAGAACUUUUUCAUUUUCCAUGAAUCAAUGCUGGAACAGUUUCGGAAAUUUCCCAACUUGGUGGUGGCCUAAGUGUUGUAAUUUUCUUUCUGAAUUCUGAUCGACUGUUGUGUAUGAUAAAUUUUUGUCGCAUUGCAAAGGUUAGCAUUUAGUUUAAUGAUGGUUGAGAUGUCUCUUGCAGUGUGCAUUAGGCAUAUAAGACUGGAGUAGAAAUAACAAUAAAUUUGAAUGAGUGUAAUUGAAUCUGAUCCCUUC